AAGGUGGCCUGUGAGGGUUGCUGGAGGUAUCAGAAGUGCGAAUGCUGACAUAAGUAACGAUAAAGCGGGUGAAAAGCCCGCUCGCCGGAAGACCAAGGGUUCCUGUCCAACGUUAAUCGGGGCAGGGUGAGUCGACCCCUAAGGCGAGGCCGAAAGGCGUAGUCGAUGGGAAACGGGUUAAUAUUCCCGUACUUGGUGUUACUGCGAAGGGGGGACGGAGAAGGCUAUGUUGGCCGGGCGACGGUUGUCCCGGUUUAAGCGUGUAGGUGUGUGUUCCAGGUAAAUCCGGUUCACUUUAACACUGAGGCGUGACGACGAGGCACUACGGUGCUGAAGCAACAAAUGCCCUGCUUCCAGGAAAAGCCUCUAAGCAUCAGGUAACAUCAAAUCGUACCCCAAACCGACACAGGUGGUCAGGUAGAGAAUACCAAGGCGCUUGAGAGAACUCGGGUGAAGGAACUAGGCAAAAUGGUGCCGUAACUUCGGGAGAAGGCACGCUGACACGUAGGUGAAGUGAUUUACUCAUGGAGCUGAAGUCAGUCGAAGAUACCAGCUGGCUGCAACUGUUUAUUAAAAACACAGCACUGUGCAAACACGAAAGUGGACGUAUACGGUGUGACGCCUGCCCGGUGCCGGAAGGUUAAUUGAUGGGGUCAGCGCAAGCGAAGCUCCUGAUCGAAGCCCCGGUAAACGGCGGCCGUAACUAUAACGGUCCUAAGGUAGCGAAAUUCCUUGUCGGGUAAGUUCCGACCUGCACGAAUGGCGUAAUGAUGGCCAGGCUGUCUCCACCCGAGACUCAGUGAAAUUGAACUCGCUGUGAAGAUGCAGUGUACCCGCGGCAAGACGGAAAGACCCCGUGAACCUUUACUAUAGCUUGACACUGAACAUUGAGCCUUGAUGUGUAGGAUAGGUGGGAGGCUUUGAAGUGUGGACGCCAGUCUGCAUGGAGCCGACCUUGAAAUACCACCCUUUAAUGUUUGAUGUUCUAACGUGGACCCGUAAUCCGGGUUGCGGACAGUGUCUGGUGGGUAGUUUGACUGGGGCGGUCUCCUCCUAAAGAGUAACGGAGGAGCACGAAGGUUGGCUAAUCCUGGUCGGACAUCAGGAGGUUAGUGCAAUGGCAUAAGCCAGCUUGACUGCGAGCGUGACGGCGCGAGCAGGUGCGAAAGCAGGUCAUAGUGAUCCGGUGGUUCUGAAUGGAAGGGCCAUCGCUCAACGGAUAAAAGGUACUCCGGGGAUAACAGGCUGAUACCGCCCAAGAGUUCAUAUCGACGGCGGUGUUUGGCACCUCGAUGUCGGCUCAUCACAUCCUGGGGCUGAAGUAGGUCCCAAGGGUAUGGCUGUUCGCCAUUUAAAGUGGUACGCGAGCUGGGUUUAGAACGUCGUGAGACAGUUCGGUCCCUAUCUGCCGUGGGCGCUGGAGAACUGAGGGGGGCUGCUCCUAGUACGAGAGGACCGGAGUGGACGCAUCACUGGUGUUCGGGUUGUCAUGCCAAUGGCACUGCCCGGUAGCUAAAUGCGGAAGAGAUAAGUGCUGAAAGCAUCUAAGCACGAAACUUGCCCCGAGAUGAGUUCU
rnacentral:rRNA from 9 species